UACGUAGGGUGCAAGCGUUGUCCGGAAUUAUUGGGCGUAAAGAGCUCGUAGGCGGCCACGCACGUCCGUUGUGAAAUCGCCCGGCUCAACUGGGCGGGGUCAGCGGAUACGGUGUGGCUCGAGCAAGCUAGGGGGCAAUGGAAUUCCCGGUGUAGUGGUGGAAUGCGUAGAUAUCACUUGGAACGCCAAAGGUGAAGGCAGUCUGCUGGGGAUCUGCUGACGCUGAGGCACGAAAGCCAGGGGAGCAAACGGG
rnacentral:rRNA from 1 species